GCCUGGUGGUUCCUGAAGUCAGCUCCAAAGUGCUGAACUUUGGGUUUUUACAAACAGGCACAUAUUAAUAAUCUCUGCGAUUAAUGCAUGGAAGCUGUCACUGUAGCAGCCUUCCGUAGCCCGGUUGCAGAUACAUCC
ensembl:snoRNA small nucleolar RNA SNORA84